UCAUUUUCGUAAUUUUUGUCUCUAAUAACGGUUUCGGAAUGAAAUUUUGAAUCUAAAUCUUUGGCGAUCUUCUGAUUUAAUUUGUUUAUUGUGAAUAUUUUUUGCUUGCAUGUUUUUAUGAUUAUAAAUUUCCAUGCGGAGCAUGUUAUAUUGAGAUUGUGAGAGUUUGUUUUAUCAGAGAAUAUCUGAGAUGUUAAUGGUUUGAAUUGAAGAAAUUGUGGAUUUCUGAUAUAAAUGCAUGUCAUUAUACCUGAGCUGCACAACAUACUAUUUAGUGCCUUUUCAUAUAAGUUGUUCUUUGAGUUUGCGACUAACUUUACUUGCAAUGCUGCAGAGAGUACAACAUUUUGUAGCUGCAGAGAGUACAACAUCUGUUCAACUCCUUAAAUCCAUGUUUCUUGCUUGAAUAGUGUAUUCUCCUUUACAAUAUAAUAUGAAAAUGUGUGUAUGAUAGAGUGCAGAUUCUUCCAUAUGCUCCAGCUCUAUUUAGUCACUCGCUCUUCUUCGUUAGAUCCUUAUCAUCGGUUUAAUUUCUUUGGUUACGAAUGCAUUUUCAGGUGACUUUAGAGCAAGUGCAGUAUUAGUACACCCAAAGUUGCACGAGCAUUUUCACCAAGUUGUUGUACAAAAGAGGUUUGCCUUUCAGGAAGAAAAAUUGCCAGGUUACUCAUGUUGGUGGUACAACUAAUACAAUAGGCGACUCUACAAUUGUGAAUAAAAUUUGAUUUUGAACACUCAAAUGAGAUCAUACAAAGCAUGAAUGAGGUGGGGAAAUGUUCAACAACCCAACACAAAGAAUAAUUCACACAAAUUAUAUAAACUCAACAUAUCAAAUUGAAAGAGUACUUUACAAUGGGUUAGUACCUUGGUGUAGGAUCAAGUCAGAGGAAAAGAGAUGAGGGCAUUUCUUUUACCAAAGAUCCACAACACAAAAGAAUUGACGACCUUCUCAUUACUAACCUUUUAAGUAGGCACAUCCAACGGUCUGCUCACAGGAUAAAGUAUGCACUUUUAAUGGAACUCAGUAGAGCAGAUCAGUAGGACUGCACGAUGGUAUGUGCUCUGCUUCUAAAAUGGCAGUCAUAUGGAUGGAGAAUCAAAUAAAAUCAGACCCAAAAUCGCAUAUUGGUCCAUCAUUAUAUUUUAUUUUCCUUUGGAAGUAGGUUUCUAUGUUAUCAGUAUCAUAGGUAUCCAUUACAUUCGCAGACUGGUUACAUUCCCAGGUGGUUCAAUGUCAAAAUUGAUGUCCUAUUUAUUAAUUUGCAUUUGUAGUGCCCAAAUCAAGUUUAAGCCCUUGCAGUAGCGCGUGUAAUUCAGUAUUGCGUAUUAGUUAUUUCAAGAGUGAUCAUUUUUAUUA